UACGUAGGUGGCAAGCGUUGUCCGGAUUUAUUGGGCGUAAAGGGAGCGCAGGCGGUGACUUAAGUCUGAUGUGAAAGCUCACGGCUCAACCGUGGAAGGUCAUUGGAAACUGGGUCACUUGAAUAUAGAAGAGGAAAGUGGGAUUCCAUGUGUAGCGGUGAAAUGCGUAGAUAUAUGGAGGAACACCAGUGGCGAAGGCGACUUUCUGGUCUAUUAUUGACGCUGAGGCUCGAAAGCAUGGGUAGCAAACAGGAUUAGA
rnacentral:rRNA from 1 species